GAUGAACGCUGGCGGCGUGCCUAAUACAUGCAAGUCGAGCGAACAGAUGAGGAGCUUGCUCCUCUGACGUUAGCGGCGGACGGGUGAGUAACACGUGGAUAACCUACCUAUAAGACUGGGAUAACUUCGGGAAACCGGAGCUAAUACCGGAUAAUAUAUUGAACCGCAUGGUUCAAUAGUGAAAGACGGUUUUGCUGUCACUUAUAGAUGGAUCCGCGCCGCAUUAGCUAGUUGGUAAGGUAACGGCUUACCAAGGCAACGAUGCGUAGCCGACCUGAGAGGGUGGUCGGCCAGACUGGAACUGAGACACGGUCCAGGCUGCGACGGGAGGGAGCAGUGGGGAAGCGUGCGCAAUGGGCGAAAGCGUGACGGAGCAACGCCGCGUGAGUGAUGAAGGUCUUCGGAUCGUAAAACUCUGUUAUUAGGGAAGAACAAAUGUGUAAGUAACUAUGCACGUCUUGACGGUACCUAAUCAGAAAGCCACGGCUAACUACGUG
rnacentral:rRNA from 1 species